CAGUCGCCGCGGGAAUACAGAGGGUGCGAGCGUUAAUCGGAUUUACUGGGCGUAAAGCGUGCGUAGGUGGUUUGUUAAGUUGGAUGUGAAAGCCCCGGGCUCAACCUGGGAACUGCAUCCAAAACUGGCAAGCUAGAGUACGGUAGAGGGUGGUGGAAUUUCCUGUGUAGCGGUGAAAUGCGUAGAUAUAGGAAGGAACACCAGUGGCGAAGGCGACCACCUGGACUGAUACUGACACUGAGGUGCGAAAGCGUGGGGAGCAAACAGGAUUAGAUACCCCCGUAGUCCCUGUCUCUUAUAC
rnacentral:rRNA from 1 species